ensembl:snRNA U6 U6 spliceosomal RNA
GUGCUUGCUUCAGCAGCACAUAUACUAAAAUUGGAACAAUACGGAGAUUAUUAACUUGGCCUCUGAACAAGAAUGACCAAGAAAUAGUUGCUUGAGUUAGUCCUUUUUU